UACGUAGGGGGCAAGCGUUGUCCGGAAUCAUUGGGCGUAAAGCGCGUGUAGGCGGCCAGGUAAGUCCGUUCUGAAAGCCCGGGGCUCAACCCCGGGAGGCGGAUGGAUACUGCUUGGCUCGAGUCCGGAAGAGGCGAGUGGAAUUCCCGGUGUAGCGGUGAAAUGCGCAGAUAUCGGGAGGAACACCAAUGGCGAAGGCAGCUCGCCUGGGACGGUACUGACGCUGGAGACGCGAAAGCGUGGGGAGCAAACAGG
rnacentral:rRNA from 1 species